GAUGAACGCUAGCGGCAGGCUUAACACAUGCAAGUCGAGGGGUAGAGGUUGCUUGCAACCUUGAGACCGGCGCACGGGUGCGUAACGCGUAUGCAACCUACCUUUUCCAGAGGGAUAGCCCAGAGAAUUUCGGAUUAAUACCUCAUAGUAUAUAAACUGCGCAUGUUGGUUAUAUUAAAGUUCCGACGGUAAAAGAUGGGCAUGCGUCCUAUUAGCUAGAUGGUAAGGUAACGGCCUACCAAGGCAACGAUAGGUAGGGGUCCUGAGAGGGAGAUCCCCCACACUAGUACUGAGACGCGGACCAGACUCCUACGGGAGGCAGCAGUGAGGAAUAUUGGACAAUGGGCGCAAGCCUGAUCCAGCCAUGCCGCGUGCAGGAAGAAGCAUCUAUGGUGUGUAAACUGCUUUUGUACAGGAAGAAACACCCCGACGUGUCGGGGCUUGACGGUACUGUAAGAAUAAGGAUCGGCUAACUCCGUGCCAGCAGCCGCGGUAA
rnacentral:rRNA from 1 species